CCGCGGGAUUAGAGUUUGAUCCUGGCUCAGAACGAACGUUAGCGGCGCGCCUAACACAUGCAAGUCGAGCGAGAAAGGGAGCAAUCCCCGGUACAGCGGCGCACGGGUGAGUAACACGUAGGUAACCUACCCUCGAAUGGUGGAUAACCUUCCGAAAGGAGGGCUAAUACAGCAUGAGCCCACGGUGUCGAGAGACACAGAGGGAAAAGCCGGCCUCUUCAUGAAAGCUGGUGUUCGAGGAUGGGCCUGCGGCCCAUCAGCUAGUUGGUGAGGUAAUGGCUCACCAAGGCUAAGACGGGUAGCUGGUCUGAGAGGAUGAUCAGCCACACUGGAACUGAGACACGGUCCAGACUCCUACGGGAGGCAGCAGUGGGGAAUCUUGCGCAAUGGGCGAAAGCCUGACGCAGCGACGCCGCGUGAGUGAUGAAGGCCUUCGGGUUGUAAAGCUCUGUGGAGGGGGACGAAUAAGGCAUGGCUAACAUCCAUGUCGAUGACGGUACCCCUUUAGCAAGCACCGGCUAACUCUGUGCCAGCAGCCGCGGUAAGACAGAGGGUGCAAACGUUGUUCGGAAUGACUGGGCGUAAAGCGCGUGUAGGCGGCUCGGCAAGUCGGAUGUGAAAGCCCUGGGCUCAACCCAGGAAGUGCACUCGAAACUGCCGAGCUGGAGUCCCGGAGAGGAAGGCGGAAUUCUCGGUGUAGAGGUGAAAUUCGUAGAUAUCGAGAGGAACACCGGUGGCGAAGGCGGCCUUCUGGACGGCGACUGACGCUGAGACGCGAAAGCGUAGGGAGCAAACAGGAUUAGAUACCCUGGUAGUCCACGCCGUAAACGAUGGGUGCUAGGUGUCGCGGGCAU
rnacentral:rRNA from 1 species